rnacentral:ncRNA from 1 species
AGCGAACCAACUGUAGUGGGAACGGUCACUAGAUAUCCAGCGGGGAAAGAAGACCUGUAGAGCUUCACUUUGGUCUAGUCUGUAUAGUCUGCGGGGGUGUAGACUAGGUGGGAGAGCAAUCGAUUCUGAAAAACCACUACCCUGUUUGGAAUUAUGCUUACCUAUCACAAGGAAUAGGACUAGAUAGAAAGUUUGGCUGGGGCGGCACACCUUCGAAAGAGCAGCGAAGGUGUCCUAAGUUGAGCUCAGUGAGGACAGAAAUCUCACGUUGAGGAUAAGGCCAAAAGCUCAAUUUACUGUGCCUUUUUGUACUAGGAUCAGUUACGAAAGUAAGGCCUAACGAUCCCUAAAUAGCCUCAGGUGCGUGAGGAUUGGGGUGACAGACAAGUUACCUCCGGGACAACUGGCUUGUGGCUGCUAAGAGAUCAAAUCAACGCAGCUUUUUGAUUCUUCGAUGUCGGCUCUUCCUAUCCUAGUGAUGUACAAGUUGCUAAGGGUCGGAUUGUUCACCCGUAUUAGGGAUCGUGAGCUGGGUUUAGACCGUCGUGAGCCAGGUUUGUUUUAUCCUACUGGAUAUAGCAUCAUGAUAGUAGAUUGAUUUAGUACGAGAGGAACUGUUGAUUAUGGCCUCUGGUUAGCGAUUAUCGGAAACGGUAUGUCGCGCAGCUACGCCGUCUGGGAUAAUGGCUGAAAGCCUCUUAAGCCAGAAGCCCAUCUAGAAAGUGAUGCACGUGAUGUUGGACCGAUACGAAUAAUCAUACUCAAAAGGUCCGCUUCAUAGGUAACCCAAUGUAGAAGACAUUGUGUGAACGAAGGUACUGUAAGCAGUGGAGUGGCAUUACGUCCACGACCUGUUGAGGUUCAGCUUCGCUUCUAGGUUUCC